GGCCUAACACAUGCAAGUCGAGGGGUAACAGGUAGAAAGCUUGCUUUCUAUGCUGACGACCGGCGCACGGGUGAGUAACGCGUAUGCAACCUACCUUUAACAGGAGAAUAGCCCCGAGAAAUCGGGAUUAAUGCUCCAUAAUAUGUUUAGAUCGCAUGGUUUGAACAUUAAAGCUCCGGUGGUUAAAGAUGGGCAUGCGUGACAUUAGCUAGUUGGUACGGUAACGGCGUACCAAGGCAACGAUGUCUAGGGGUUCUGAGAGGAUUGUCCCCCACACUGGUACUGAGACACGGACCAGACUCCUACGGGAGGCAGCCAGUGAGGAAUAUUGGUCAAUGGUCGAGAGACUGAACCAGCCAUGCCGCGUGCAAGAUGACGGCGCUACGCGUUGUAAACUGCUUUUCUACAGGAAGAACUGUACUUACGUGUAAC
rnacentral:rRNA from 1 species